AGUGAGGGGAGCCAGUGAGGUAAGAAUCAAGGCCACCAAAUUUCUGAACAUGGCCUUCUCCACUACAAGGGUCCAGUUUUGGUGGAUUUGAGCAACAUGCUAAGCCUAAGCCUAACCUUGACAUUUCCUCUUUUCUCUUACUUUUACUCUUUUGCUUGCUUUGCUUCCCUCCACCAAUCUCACUCAAUUCAGCUUUUCCAUUUAUAAAGUUCAUUUAAGACUUUGAAUAUUUCAACCUUGUACUUUUCUAUUCAGUUUUUCUUAAUCUCGCUAUCUGUCUGUUGUUUAGUAUUCUUAAAUUUGUUCAGAGGUUUGUGACGUGUUAACUUUUGGUGAGUUCAAUUCCAGGUCGUGACUUUUUUCACCACCAAUCAGAGGUUUUAUUUAUUUAUUCUUGUAUGGAGUUUAUUCACUUCAUCUCUAUACUUUCAUCUGUGUAGAUUAUUUUCUCACAAUUGCAGGUUAAUUUUUUUUGAAAAAAUGUACAGAUUUUAUAAAGUGAAGGAAAUACAAUUUUCUCUUUUAAUUUAACAUACAAUUUUCUCUUUCCUUCCCUGUCAUGACAGAUAUGAGAUAGCAUUGUAGAAAAUUACAUUAUUUAUGACUUAUGAGUAAUAUUCAAAUAUUAUUUACUGGCGGCAAACAUAAAUCAUGUUUACUUUUCAAUGAAAAGUUUAGGCCUUCGUUUUUUCAUUAUGUUAUAUGAUUAUUAUUCAUUUUAAGAUUAAGACUGCUCAAUUAUUUCCUUACUAAACUUGACAAUUUUGUUUUUGCUUGCAGUUAGAAGAAGAAGAAUAUAAUUGUUAAACAAGGGUGUACGAGAUUAAGUAAAACAUAUGAUUAUAAUUGUUAAUCAAAUUAUUGAAAUUGAAAUUUCAACAACUUUAUAGUUUAUUAUAUAAAUAUAUGGCACAAUUUUAACAACAAAUUAUUUUGAGCUUGAACCGGAGACGGUAUAUAAACUUGCACAAUUUAUUUUAAAACUCAACUUUUUAUUAGAACAAAUUAUGCAACAAGAACUUAAUUUACAAACGGGCCCUUAGUUAUCUUUUUAUACACCAGAAUCAUUCAAAGACCACAAUUCCAGAAUUUAUACAUAGACCUUAGCAUUAGGCACUUGGACAAACUCACCCUUGGCGGGGAAUAACUAGAGUUUAAAAACAAAGCUUCUUCAAUCCAAUCCAUUCAAACAAAGUGAAUGAUAACAGAACUUUGAAGAUUAUUUUACAUACGAGGCGAAGCUGAAGAUGUAUUUACCACAGUCCUCGAAAAUAUGACCCAGAAAUUGGAAAAGCAAAGUUAUGAACAAUCUCAGACAAACAAGCUCUUAUUAGAAAAGAGGCAAUAGAAGUUCUUCUUCACAUUCAUAGAACAAGAUUGAUUUCUCACUUGAGAUGUUUAGCAAACCAGUCCAGCAUGUCCUGAUGGGCUUCCUCAGCAGCCUUCACAGCUUCUGCAUCUUCGAUGUUGUAUCUCACACUCCAACCGUGUGAGACUUUAGGAAAUAUUUUAACAUAACUAUCAACCUGCUAAAAAUAAAAAUAACAAUUCAGAAGCCAUAUUAAUCAUUCUCAAUAAGAAACAGUUAUGGGUCCAGCUUUAAGGUCUGAGUUAUGACGUAGACAAGAGGAUGGUGACGAUGAAUGUUUUUCAGUAGCCAAAAACAAGACACAAAGCACAAUGUGCUUGGUAAAAAUGAAAUUUAAACAGAGCUUAGCUACAGAUAGAUUUCUCAAAUUCAACUUGUCUGAACCCAUCAGAACCAAAAAAUGGAAACUGAUAAUGAAAGAACACGUCAUCUUUGAAUUAAAAAUAAAAUCACAUAGUAACCAGAAAAUAUUAUCAUCAUCAGAACAUAAAGGUAAUCUAAAAUGAUGGUAGAUAACCAGCAAAAAGAGAAAAAAAUAUCUGACCCCAGGUUUAGCAGUUAAGACUUGUUCAAACUGUUUCAGAAGCUCUGGAGGAGACAUUUUGUCAAUCUCAGCUCCAAGUAUAGCAAUUGGAAUAUCAACACCUAAAAGUUAGACCAAUAAUUGACUGUUAGAAUAUGAACAUCUUAGUCAAUAGUCACUGCUUAAGAAAUAUGCUUAAAAAUGAGAACGGAAUGAAUUGGUAUGGAACAAACUCCAAUAAAAUAGAACUUAUGCACAAUCAAUUAAAUCAACAGAAGUUAAGUACACUGUUGUAAUAAAAGACAACAGGCAAGGAGAUUUUUUCAACACAAAAAUAAAAUAUAGAUACCCCUGUGUAGCAAAUUAUUGACCUUCAGAAAAAUAGAUUGCAAGCACAGUCCAUAAAAAACACUAUUAUGGUUUGCUCAUCUUUCAAACAAACGUACUUCUAGGACUCAGAAACCUUCAACAUCAUUUAUAAAGUGAAGUGCUCAAUAUUUAGGCUCAGCAUAAGAUGUUUACGGUUUACCAAAUCUAUUUCUCUUUUAUUCAAUCAAAUGUUCAAAAUGUAAUGAUUAUGAUACAGACAUACCAGAAGUAUGUAGAAACAGUAAAAUACACUGCAAGUCAGCAUAAAGACAAAUAUGAUUAUUUAGGAAGUGACUGAGGACUGUAGUUAUAUUCCGAACAUGCCUAAUUGCCUAUUUCAAUGGUAUGACAAGAAGCUGCAACAUAAUUUUGGUAGUCAUCCUUAGAAGAUACAGUGAAGUUUUCAAUAACUAAAAUAUGCAGACAGAAGAAAUUUAAAUAUUGAGAAUUCAUACCAUUGAUGUCAUCCAGAGAGACAAAUGAUGGGUGUAAUUGCACAGCAGCUUGGAUUAGUCUGGAUUUCGCAAGUUCAACCACAACCUUAGCUGAAGGAAAGAAGAGAAAGACUACACUCUGUGAGUUUGAUUGCUUAGUUGUGUUCAUAAUUUCAAACCAUACCAGAAACUACACCUAAGUGAAGCUGAAAGUGCUAUAUAGUAUAUCAAUAUGCAAACAAGAGGAGGGGAAAAUAUAAGCACUCCGAAUGAGUGGAAUGAGAGGUACUUACCUCCCCAACAAAAUCCAGCAGCCCCAAUAGCCGACACACCUUUACUUUUUAAAGCUUCAACUAUGGGUUUGGCAACUUCAAAUCCUUUGUCCUAUUAUUGAUAUGAAAGAAUCAGGGAAUUAUGAAUUACAAAUUACAACACACAAAAAAACCAUUUUUCACUAGAUGAGAAUGACAAUAAAAGUUUACAAAUCAAUGUACAAUUUCUAUACAUUUUAUGCGAGAUAAUCCAUAGUAUUUGAUCCACUCAUCCAAACAUAUAUACUGAUAUACAGGUGGCCCACUAACAUUCAAACAGCUUGUAAUUGUAAAAACCAAUUAUUAUAAAUAAGAACUUACCGUUCCAUGAUCUUUUAACCAAACAGGUAAAGGCCUGUUAGCAUUCUCAGGAUUAUAUGGGUCACCAUAGAAGAAGUCAGGAACAACCACAUAAUAUCCAGCAGCUGCAACCUUGUCUGCAAGGUUCCUUAACAACAGAGGACAAACAGUAUCACUGCCCAGAGAUACACUACAUUUGGCACCAUAGAGAGAGAGAGAGAUGGAGAAAGAGAGAAUUGGAAAAGAGAGUUAAACAGCCAGAUUCCAUUAGUGGAAUAAUUCACCAGAACUUGAUAAAAUUUGAGAGUAAAAGGUAGACUUCCCAAGAAAGAAGAUGAUUAUAUCAUAAUUCAUAAUUUACAGUUAACAUGUUGAUAUAGAUAUAUAUUUGAUUAAUUCCCUACGAAAAUUGAAAUCUAUCAUUCACUGUUACCUAAAGAUUAUGAGCCAUUACUUUAAAAUGGAAAAGUAGGAUUUUUUUGCUAAUUGUGACGCCGCUAUUGCCACUAUAGCGCGCUAUUCGCCUCCAAAUAGCGGCUGAAAUAGUGGAUUUUUUACUCACCAUGAUGGUCCGCGAUUAAUUGGAAAUUGGACAGUAUGAAACCAAGAUAACUUGCUCUAACAUAUAAAGUAAAAAAAUUAGCUAACUUAGAAAUAGACAAUAGGCAUGAGACUUGAGUAUAAGAUCAUACCUUAAAUUCGGCGCUUCAUAUCCUACAAAACAAAUCAAGCAUGUGAAGUUAAAAGAUGAUAUUAUUGGCUACAGGCGAUAAUAACCUUUAAAAAAAUAUAUUGAUACAGCCAACAACAACAAGCAAGCCUUUUCCCACUAGAUGGAGUUGGAAAUGAAACCAGAGUCUCUUCAUAGAAUGCAAAAGUGAAGAUGGGGUGUUUGAAAGAUACCAUAAAUGUCAGAGACAAGUAGAAUGGCAAGCUUAGAGUGAGGGGAGCCAGUGAGAUAGGAAUCAAGACCAGCAAAUUUCUCAACAUGGCCUGCACCUGCAGUGGGGUUAAUGGUUGGUGGGUUUGAGCAACAUUGUGGCCCUGACAUUGCUCUUCUCUUCUCUGCAAUUCACUUCACAGCUCUGCUCUUGGGGAUCAAAUUUUGGAACAGAGAGAGAGAGAGAGAUGACGUGAAGAAAUGGGAGAUUCCACUUUGCUAUUGCUAUGCACUCAUAUCAUUGUGGUCCAUAUAUGGACAACUGCAGG
rnacentral:lncRNA from 1 species